rnacentral:sRNA from 1 species
GCUGGCCCUAAACUUAUUCUCGCAGCGAACAUUUCUUCUUAAAUUUACAUAUUAAAAAAUUAAUUAUCAUGGAGUUGCCCUUCCCGUCACUUUUUUGGGAGUAAGGAAAUAAAGAGUGAAAUUAAAGUUAUAGGUAUACUUUAAAAUUUGGGGGGGGGGGGGGGGGAGUUUUUUGUUUCUUUUUGCUCGUCAAGAUUUUUGGAUGAGUCUGCCCCCCCCCCCUUUUUAAAAACGAUGCUACGUGCCUGUGUGGCUCGUCUUAAUCUGUGAUAUUCUCAUACAGGGCAUCAUUAAUCGGAAAUCAUUUUUUAAGGAGUAGACUGUAAAGUCAAGUUUCAUUUUUUGAUCGACUAGCAUAGUACUUUUUAGGGAACUUCACUGAUUUACCUGAUGUGAUAGGUAUUCAGUUAAGUGUUAUCAGUACAUGUAUAGUACUUUGGUUUCACCGAUAUAUGUGGGGAUAAAUUUUUGUGAAUUUUAUUAGCGAAAAUCACAGUUUUAGGGAUAAAAUUUAAAAUUCGUGGCACCAAAGUACUAUCAAUUUAAUAUGUUAAUAGAUAUUGAAAUGAAAUCAACUGUAUAGUCUAUUUUCAUGGAUCAGCACAACAGCGAAAUCAACGAAAUAUUAGUGUUCAACGAAUAUAUUCAAUUUGAUGCAACUACAUGUAUUUCCAUUGCAUUACUUUACUUUCCUAACUAAGUUAACAGGACAACGGUUUGUCUCUUCAUUACAUGAACUUGGUUUGAAAACAGAUGACUUCAACCCUAUUAUUGAUAAAUGGUUUCAUUUGUUAUGCAUUGCAUGAGGAUAUGAUAUACAAUGUAUAUCGCCAUGCAUAGAUGUAUCUGUUAUAUUUUUACAUACACUUCACAUUAUUUGAUAUUUAUUUCAUUUUGAAAAUGAAGUAAUAAAAUAUGUGAAAUUG